CUAACGUUCAACAUCAACUUAUUUCUGGCGAGCAUCGCAGAUUGUUAGCUGAGGAUCAGUGCAAAUCCAGCCACCGAAAGCUACAGUUGGAAAUGAUGUGAGAAGUACACCGCACAUCGGACCAUAUCUUUUGGGUGUAAAAACAGUGGUUUAACCAUGCGCUAAAAAUUCAAAGUGCCUUCCACAAGUUCCGGAUAAAAGCAUAAAACUGCAGUGUUGAAAAGUUGAAAGGCCCUAGGAAUAAAAUUGCUAGUGGUAUUGCUUAAAAAAAUAGAUUCGGAACACACGUGACAGUGAUCAAGUGAAAUUCGAAGGAAAUUAUCUUAAAUGAAUUGACGUUGAACCAAUGGCUUUGGACACUAUGGAGGAAGAGGGAUUUGAACGAACUCGUCGCAAUCGCAUAGCUCCAAAAUGGCGACCAUCAUCAUCUACCCAUGGAACGCUUCACCUAAAACAGUCACCAUAGAUCGGAUGCUAUAAUGAAACACGAAAAUUGGAAGAAUAUGAGCCAAACUAUGAUUAUUACAAUAUUUAGUGACAUUGGAAAUCGCCAACCAAUCGUUACCAAAUGAGCAGCACUAGUAGUUAUAAAUGAAUCAGUUUCGACCGAAGUACGAUGCACAGAUUGAACAGAUAGAAAACAUUCAAAUCGACUGCAAAGAAUGUUUAUUGCAAAUAACGCCUGGGCACUCCAACGCCGGAGAAGUCCACCUAAAACCGAUCGUCCUACUAACGUUAGCUUUAGUAUGGAAAAUAAUUCGUUUAUAAGAAAACCAACCGCAAUGCUUACAGAUGCAACAGAAUAAAAUAUUGAUACGCCAUCUUGUCUUCACAGCAUUCCCCGAUGGCCAGCACGCGCCAGACUGUGAGAGGAAAAAACGCGCCAACUAACGGCGAACGCUUCCAUCCCAGAGGAAGCAUGAACCGAAUACACGUGGCAAAGAGAAAGCACGUGUCCUGUGGUGAAACUAGCUGCCACACACACACACUAACACCACGAUGCCACAGACAAGUGAGCCCGUCGGUCGUUCAAAACUGCUAACAAAAUCAAACACAAAAAGCUCACUAACUGAAAAAUAUAAUGCGAAAUCAAGAGGGGAAAAACCGGCACCAAUUCGACCAGGGGAAAUUGAUUUUCGGCGGAGGAGAAAACUCCUAAGGGGAAAAACCCCGACUUUCCGGCUGAAUUCACACACUGAAUCGAUUUCGGCGAGAGGUUAUGUAAAGCAAAAAAGCCAGCAGAGACUUCCCCAACAUUUGAAAAAGUUCCGUCCGACUCAAGCAAAACGAAAAACAAUACAUUCUAAGGCCAGCAAAUGCAACAACAAAUCACAUCGUCUACCGGCCAGGAAAGCUCAUGGAAGCUGUGGAAAUCGUCGUUUGUGUGUCGGCCUGGGAGCCGCCAUCGUCGCAGUCGCUUUCGUCUGGGAUUCAUCAUCGUCCUGCAAUCGCAACCGGCUAGCAGAUACCCGAGGCUUUCCACCGAGCGAAAGCUUCCAGAGAAGUAUAAAACCUUUUUUUAGUUGUUUUUGCAAUUGUUUCAUUGCACCAACACACGCACAGACACACACACCGUAUUUAACACAGGUCACAGAACUAAAAACGUCAAACGUAUGCAUCGCUCCAAUUUUCGUUCCUUUUGCGAUAAGUAUUUAAUCCUAAGUUUUGAGUGUAUCUUUCUUUUAGUUUUUUUCUUGUGCUAGUUUUUAGUAGUUAUUCCACAACCAAACAAUAGCUAGGAUAAGUAUUUCUUUCGUUUAGAUUAAAUACUACAAACUUUUGAACAGUGCACAAGAGGAAACAAUAUGUCAACAAGAUAAUAGUAACCAGCCAACAGGAAUAUUUUUUAUCAUUUAAUAACACAUAACGAAUGAUUUUACAGGAAGAACAAAAUUAUUGGAUUCAAGCAAAUGACAAAAAAUAUAGGAUAAUGAUUUGAAUUUCCGAUAAAAUUCAAAACAUCUGAUACGUUACAGUCACAAAAAAAAAGAUAACAAACUCGGCCUUCCAAAAAUGAACUGUAGAAAAUUGUUGGUUAUAACUUUGGAAGGAAAGCAAAAAUAAACCAAAAAGCUAAUAGGCAAAACAUUGUAGACACUACGCACAGAAUGCUGCAGCUUUAUGACAGAAAUUAUUUUCAUUGUCGUUAAACCAAAAAUAAUAUACCAACCUCGGGCAACCGAUUUGGACUGAAACCACUAGCGGAGUGUUUAGUUGCAAACGAAACCCAGAUCCAGUUGUUCGUAGAAAAUUAGCAAACUUUUUAGCGAAAUAUUUAUCUGUAUCUGUUGAUAACUGCAAAAAGAUUUAUUUACGUUUGAACGAUAAACAUAUCUAUCUAUAUUCCAUAUUUGAAGCGAAAAAACAAGUUUCAAUUCAAGACAGCAAAAGCAGAAAACAAACAAAAAAAAAACUAGCUAAAUUGAUUCGACAGUCAAAAUUGCUAAAUUUGACACGAAAUAGUCCAAGAACAAAUUGUUACGUUCAAAAUAAGAACAACCUAUGCUGGAUUCAGCGAAAAAAUCCAAAAAAGCGCAAAUGAUAAAUUAUUGUUGACUCAAUGAGAUUGUUACACAAAACGUUUCUAUAUUUUGAAAUAGGCUCUAAUCAAGUCGCAAAUAAUGGCAAUAAUUUCUGUAAUAAAAAAAUAUAUAUAAAACAACUGAAUGGAACUAAAACAGGAUCCAGGGAAACACAAUUCACACGAAUUCAAUAAUUUUGCCACACAUAUAAGCAUUAUAUUAUUAAAGUACAUUCUACCGAUUACUCACACAACAAGCAAGUCCUUUUUUUCUGCCCAAUUACAUUGUAAAUCUUAAUUUUAGACACUUUACCGCACAGUUCGGUUCUUGACAGCAUGUACGUCAAGUUUCCCUGCAAAAAAAAAGUAACAAAACAAAACAUUCUAGCAAAAGCAAAAGUUAGGACGCGGAAGCAAAACCCGAACCACUGAUAAUUAACAUGUAUUCUUAUUUAUUUUAUUCUCAAACAGGACUGAUAGGAAAGACGAAACGGGAUAGAUAACAAAAAAAUUAAAUUUAUAUACUUUAUUCAGCUUUCGCGCCGCGUGCAAGGGCGCUUUUAAUUGGAACGGAAACUACUAUUUUGUUCGGAAAAAUGUGCUCUGCUUUAGGAAAUAUUUUUUUUUCUGAAAACAAAUUACAAAUAUUGAGGGGGCGUUCAUGGCAACAAUCACCAAAAAUAACGAAAAAAUCAACUUUUUUAUGCAACUAAAUUCAAAAUAUCUGCUUUUCUGUAUUGGAAAAGGAAGGUAAUUUUGAAACUUUACCAAGGAUUACAAAAACGCACAACAAAGGUUCUACGGACCUGCGGUCUAAGUGUUGAUCCUCUAGCCGGUGAGGGACCAGCUCAGGGUUAGCAUAAAGCGGUCUCCUUUCACCGAGCAACUUUGGGGAUUGGUAUAAAAAUUCAUUUAGAAUGUUCUGGUUUGAGUGGAACCUUUCUCAUCUGGACAAAAACUGAAUUUUUGCUGAUAGUGUUCGGCUAUUAGAAACUCAUUAUCCGACUAAAUUCCUUUCCCAAAACCGCGAAGAUUUAAUAUUCGAUCAACCCCUGUCUGAAGCAACAUAAAACAAGUACAGUUUCGGCUUCCAGUCUCUGGCAAGACGUUUCAAUUUCGAACGGAUAAAUUAUUAAUUUUGAUUGUAGGGUUGGGGCGUCGAAUGGCUUCAGGGUACAGACGUAAGCUAUGUUGAAAUUCCAAAAUUACAUUCCUUCACGGAAUGGCGAACAUCGGCUGUGAGUAAUACGCACUUUUAAUAGCAAUACAGGAAAAAGAAAACAAUAUUCGUCAAACUAAAACCAACAAUGGACUGCAACCAUCAAAAACGAAAUAUUUGAUAAUAAACCAUUCAAGCAAUUCCGAUCAGAUCUGAACUACGACUCGAAAAGAGAACAAAAACAAACCAAAACCACGCAAGCCAUUGGAAACGAAAGGCAGAAAGAGCAC